GUGGGGAAUAUUGGACAAUGGGCGAAAGCCUGAUCCAGCCAUGCCGCGUGUGUGAAGAAGGUCUUCGGAUUGUAAAGCACUUUAAGUUGGGAGGAAGGGCAUUAACCUAAUACGUAAGUGUUUUGACGUUACCGACAGAAUAAGCACCGGCUAACUUCGUGCCAGCAGCCGCGGUAAUACGAAGGGUGCAAGCGUUAAUCGGAAUUACUGGGCGUAAAGCGCGCGUAGGUGGUUCGUUAAGUUGGAUGUGAAAGCCCCGGGCUCAACCUGGGAACUGCAUCCAAAACUGGCGAGCUAGAGUACGGUAGAGGGUGGUGGAAUUUCCUGUGUAGCGGUGAAAUGCGUAGAUAUAGGAAGGAACACCAGUGGCGAAGGCGACUACCUGGACUGAUACUGACACUGAGGUGCGAAAGCGUGGGGAGCAAACAGGAUUAGAUACCCGGGUAGUCC
rnacentral:rRNA from 1 species